GACGUAGGGGGCUAGCGUUGCUCGGAAUGACUGGGCGUAAAGGGCGCGUAGGCGGCUCAUACAGUCAGAUGUGAAAUUCCUGGGCUUAACCUGGGGGCUGCAUUUGAUACGUGUGGGCUUGAGUGGGGAAGAGGGUCGUGGAAUUCCCAGUGUAGAGGUGAAAUUCGUAGAUAUUGGGAAGAACACCGGUGGCGAAGGCGGCGACCUGGUCCUUGACUGACGCUGAGGCGCGAAAGCGUGGGGAGCAAACAGG
rnacentral:rRNA from 1 species